rnacentral:rRNA from 1 species
CCUACGGGAGGCAGCAGUGGGGAAUCUUGCGCAAUGGGCGAAAGCCUGACGCAGCCAUGCCGCGUGAAUGAUGAAGGUCUUAGGAUUGUAAAAUUCUUUCACCGGGGACGAUAAUGACGGUACCCGGAGAAGAAGCCCCGGCUAACUUCGCGCCAGCAGCCGCGGUAAUACGAAGGGGGCUAGCGUUGCUCGGAAUUACUGGGCGUAAAGGGAGCGUAGGCGGAUAGUUUAGUCAGAGGUGAAAGCCCAGGGCUCAACCUUGGAAUUGCCUUUGAUACUGGCUAUCUUGAGUUUGGGAGAGGUGAGUGGAACUCCGAGUGUAGAGGUGAAAUUCGUAGAUAUUCGGAAGAACACCAGUGGCGAAGGCGACUCACUGGCCCAAUACUGACGCUGAGGCUCGAAAGCGUGGGGAGCAAACAGGAUUAGAUACCCUGGUAGUCCACGCCGUAAACGAUGAGUGCUAGUUGUCGGCAUGCAUGCAUGUCGGUGACGCNGCUACGCAUAAGCACNCCGCCGUCGGGAGGUACGGUCGCGAAGAAGUUAAACUAACUAAAUUAGUUAAGUUAGUUACGGCGUGAGACGUUGCCGACGGACGACGACGAGGGGAGGAGGAG